UACGUAGGGUGCGAGCGCUGUCCGGAAUUACUGGGCGUAAAGAGCUCGUAGGUGGUUUGUCGCGUUGUUCGUGAAAACUCACAGCUCAACUGUGGGCGUGCGGGCGAUACGGGCAGACUGGAGUACUGCAGGGGAGACUGGAAUUCCUGGUGUAGCGGUGGAAUGCGCAGAUAUCAGGAGGAACACCGGUGGCGAAGGCGGGUCUCUGGGCAGUAACUGACGCUGAGGAGCGAAAGCGUGGGGAGCGAACAGG
rnacentral:rRNA from 1 species